CCACGUCUUCGUGAAGAGCAAGAAAUAUUGGUCGACUUACUCGUAUCGCGCAUUCGGUUGAUGAUCGUCGAUUUAGUAGCUCAGUCAACGAACAAUCGGCAGAUAAUAUAAAUUUAAGAAUUCAAGUUGAAAUAAAAAUUGAGGGCAACGCACUCCACGUAUUCGUGUUAAUACCUUAAGGUGCACGAGGUGCACGUCAACAAGCGCUCAUAGAGAAUAUAACCAACGAUGAGUGCAGGAUAAUCGAGCAUUGGAACGAGCAUCACUUAAUCGUCUCGUUUGAAUAUGAUCCUGAAAUAAACUUUUCAACACAUCCAUUAAUCACGAUUGGUGGUAUGGACAAAGAGUGUCAACAUUGUUAUGCUUUCAAGUACAAAGGUGAAACAGCUGGUUUAUGGCAUUUGGGAAAAUGUCAUUUCUACCGCUCAUCAAAACAGAAAAAGUGCCCUAUGGAGAGCACGCAGCACAUGUAAUGUUGAAACUAUUAAUGAAGUUACAGUUGUUAUGGCUGGUGACCCUUGUGAACGUCGAAACGCUUGCAAGAUUGCAAGUGAAGAACUUAUGAAGACAGCUAGUGUUAUGAACUUCUACGCAUAUCGGUUGAUGAUUCAUGCAAAUGAAGCCAAUAACAUUCUCCGAUUCAGAAAACUAUUUCAUCAGUACAUUGUAGAUAUGUGUGUAAAAAUCGAAAUUGAGAGAUUGCGACCAAUGAAAUUUAAUCAAGCAAAACUUCGUACUGCAACAAAUGACUUCAACAACAUCGGUACUGCAUAUGUCCUUUCAUCAUUAUAUAUUGAUUGUUCAAUAUGAAAGAAUACAUUAAAGACGCUAUGACUUACGUACGUGCAUACGGCAUCUUUGAAAAAUUUUAUUACACAUCGGUACUGGGUGAAACACGUUGUUGGCUUUACCCUGUUCAAUGAAAAAAACAAGGUUAACCUCAUGCGCAUAUUUUAAUUUGUCCAUUCUCUCAAGGUUAAUUAUAUGUUCCAGAGUUGGAAAACGAUCGAAUUUGUUUGUUUAUACGCCUCACGGAUUAACCAAAAUUAUUGCACAUACAAUGGCAUUACGAUAAACUAAGUUUAUGCAAAUUACAAAAAGUAUAUAACAAGAAGUUCGUUCUUUUCAAAUUGAUUGAACUGUGAUAAGUAUGAUACACACAUUUCCUUGGUAGAAAAAAAUUCCUUGAUAGGCGUAAUCGGAAAAUCACCCACAAAACGCUAUUAAUUUAAAACGUAUAAAGUGUCUUAACUAAGGACUAAAUUAAGUUAUAGACGCAGGGGAUCGCAGUAGCAAGAGGCACCUUUGGGCUAAAAACUUGGAUAAGUUACUUUGCACAACCCCAUCACUUCUCACAACCUACUACGGCUAACCUAUUUUGGCACAAUUCCGAUUUUUUUGGCGCCGCGAUCUGAAGGUGCCCUUGGAAAGAGGAAGUCCUCCCCAAUAUUCGAACAUUUCAACAAGCUAUUUCCCUAAAGUAAACACACUUUACGUUCAUUUUUUACUUUGAAUGAAUUAAAUUAAACCAUCAACAUUUAAAUAAAUCCACAUUUUACA
rnacentral:lncRNA from 1 species